rnacentral:lncRNA from 1 species
AUGCAGAAGGGAGUGGGAGAAGAGGAAUUGGGCUGGGCAGGGGGAAGGCCAAGCGGGAUCCAGAUCCAGAGAGAAAACACCGAGACCUCCCACCCCGUCUUUCACGUCAAGCCGCACUCCACCGCACCUUAUUCUGGGCCCGUUGCCUGGGUUCGGCAGGCCCGCCGCCCGAGUUCCUUUCUGGUUUGGGUCUCCGGGGCGGCCCCAGAACUGGCCACCCGUCCCCCCACCAGGAUGGGGGGGGGGGUGCAGUGGAGACAUCCCAACCCCCUCCCAACCCCCUCCCAAAUCCCUCCCAACCCCCUUGUCCCCUUCCUCUCCCCCCUCCUAAAUCCCUCCCCCCCUUCCCUCUCCCUCUCCCCACCCCUUCUGCCCUCCCUCUCCGGCUCCCAAAUCCCUCCCACCCCCUCCCUCCCCAUCUCUCCAACCCCCUUCUCCCCUCCCUCUCCCCCUCCCAAAUCCUCCCAACCCCGUCUCCCUCCCUCUCUCUCCCUUCCAAAUCCCUCCCUCUCUCUCCCUCCCCCUUCCCUCUACCUCUCCCAACCCCCUUCUCCCCUCCCUCUCCCCCUCCCAAAUCCCUCCCAGCCCUCCCUCCCCCAUCCCUCCCAACCCUCUCCCAACCCCCUUCUCCCCUCCCUCUCCCCCCUCCCAAAUCCCUCCUUCCCCCUUCCCUCUCCCCCUCCCAAAUCCCUCCCAGCCCUCCCUCCCCCAUCCCUCCCAACCCUCUCCCAACCCCCUUCUCCCCUCCCUCUCCCCCCUCCCAAAUCCCUCCUUCCCCCUUCCCUCUCCCCCUCCCAAAUCCCUCCCAGCCCUCCCUCCUCUCCCAACCCCCUUCUCCCCUCCUUCUCCCCCUCCCAAAUCCCUCCCACCCCUCCCUCCCCCUUUCUCCCCUCCCUCUCCCCGCUCCCCAACCCUUCCCCCCUCUCCCUCCCCCAUCCCUCCCAACCCUCUCCCCCUCCCCCUGGUCUACUCCCCCUCCUCCCAGCCCCCUUCUCCCGCCUCCCCCAUGCCACCCAGCCCCCUCCCCUCUCCCCCUGCUCAUUCAUUCAUUCAUUCAAUAGCAUUAAUUGA